rnacentral:rRNA from 1 species
AGUGAACGCUGGCGGCGUGCCUAAUACAUGCAAGUCGAACGAAGUGGCGCACGGGUGAGUAAUAUAUAGUUAAUCUGCCCUACACAGAGGAACAACAGUUGGAAACGACUGCUAAUACCUCAUAGUGUAGGAUGAGACUAUAUCGUAUCAGCUAGUUGGUAAGGUAAUGGCUUACCAAGGCUAUGACGCGUAACUGGUCUGAGAGGAUGAUCAGGCACAUUCGAACUGAGACACGGUCCAAACUCCCACCGGAGGCAGCAGUAAGGAAUAUUGCGCAAUGGGGGAAACACGGAGGCAGCAACGCCGCGUGGAGGAUGAGACUUUUCGGAGCGUAAACUACUUUUAUCAGGAAAGCGGGACCUUAUGAAUAAGCACCGGCUAAAUCAGUGGCAACCGCCGCGGUAAUUC